rnacentral:rRNA from 1 species
UGGGGAAUAUUGCACAAUGGGCGCAAGCCUGAUGCAGCCAUGCCGCGUGUAUGAGGAAGGCCUUCGGGUUGUAAAGUACUUUCAGUCGGGAGGAAGGUGUCAAGGUUAAUAACCUUGGCAAUUGACGUUACCGACAGAAGAAGCACCGGCUAACUCCGUGCCAGCAGCCGCGGUAAUACGGAGGGUGCAAGCGUUAAUCGGAAUUACUGGGCGUAAAGCGCACGCAGGCGGUUGAUUGAGUCAGAUGUGAAAUCCCCGGGCUUAACCCGGGAAUUGCAUCUGAUACUGGUCAGCUAGAGUCUUGUAGAGGGGGGUAGAAUUCCAUGUGUAGCGGUGAAAUGCGUAGAGAUGUGGAGGAAUACCGGUGGCGAAGGCGGCCCCCUGGACAAAGACUGACGCUCAGGUGCGAAAGCGUGGGGAGCAAACAGG